GUGGGAACCCCGCGGCAGUAGUUGAGCAUCAGGCUCUUACCUUGGAGGUGGAGGGGUGAGAAGAAUAGAGGAAGAAGGGAUAAGUCAGAGGAGGGCCUGAACAACUAGCCCCUCUAUUGGCCUGCUUUGGCCCGUUUCCUGUUAUCUGAAGUCAACUAAGAGAAGAAGGUGGAAAAUGCGCAGCAUUGGAUCUGGUCAUGUCAGCACACACCUGUAACCCCAGCACCUUGAGGUUACAGGGGCAGGAGGAUCACCUUGAGUUUCAGGCUAGCCAGUGCUACCUAGUGAAACCUCAUCUGAGCAAAAGGAAAGAAAACUUUCACAUUAUCAUGAGAGGCAAGUUUUCCAGCCACUAAAGACAAAGUCACAAUAUCAUAAUCUAGAGAUCUCUGCUCCUUCUAGUCCUACCUUCUGCCAUGCGUCUCUAACCCUGAUAUCCUCAGGGACAGAAUAAUGAAGUGAAAUGCAUUCCUUC
ensembl:antisense Gm10138 predicted gene 10138